rnacentral:rRNA from 1 species
UACGUAGGGUGCGAGCGUUACUCGGAAUUACUGGGCGUAAAGCGUGCGCAGGCGGUUUUGUAAGCCAGAUGUGAAAUCCCCGGGCUUAACCUGGGAAUGGCAUUUGGGACUGCAAGGCUUGAGUGCGGCAGAGGAGACUGGAAUUCCCGGUGUAGCAGUGAAAUGCGUAGAUAUCGGGAGGAAUACCGAUGGCGAAGGCAGGUCUCUGGGCCGGAACUGACGCUGAGGAGCGAAAGCGUGGGGAGCGAACAGG